rnacentral:rRNA from 1 species
ACCAGCGGCGAUAGCACGUUGAACACACCAGUUCCCCACGGAUCACUGAAGUUAAGCAACGUUGCCCGUGGUUAGUACCUGGAUGGUGACCAUCUGGGCAAUUGCGUGCUGCUGUGG